rnacentral:lncRNA from 1 species
UGGCCAUCGUGAGUGUGAAUACAAUUGUGGUAGUGGGUGAAUAUGAGUUGUUAUUAUUGUUAGAGAAUGGAGGGUUUAUUUUAGAAAUCACUAGGAAAGGGUGAGAGGAUUUGGCUUUGAGGACAAUGAGUUUGUAUCUAGUAUAUACCCAUUCCUAGUCCAUGCUUCUAUCAACUAUUCCUAGUCCUUGGCUGUAGUCUCCUCC